rnacentral:rRNA from 1 species
AACGAACGCUAGCGGCAUGCCUAACACAUGCAAGUCGAACGCCAUGGUUUCGGCCAUGGAGUGGCGCACGGGUGAGUAACGCGUGGGAACCUGCCCAGCAGUAUGGGACAACCGCGGGAAACUGCGGCUAAUACCGUAUACGCCCGUCUUUGGGAGACCAGGGGCGGGGAAAGAUUGAUCGCUGUUGGAGGGGCCCGCGUCGGAUUAGGUAGUUGGUGGGGUAAAGGCCUACCAAGCCUGCGAUCCGUAGCUGGUCUGAGAGGAUGAUCAGCCACACUGGGACUGAGACACGGCCCAGACUCCUACGGGAGGCAGCAGUGGGGAAUAUUGGACAAUGGGCGCAAGCCUGAUCCAGCAAUGCCGCGUGAGUGAUGAAGGCCUUAGGGUUGUAAAGCUCUUUCACCGGAGAAGAUAAUGACGGUAUCCGGAGAAGAAGCCCCGGCUAACUUCGUGCCAGCCGCCGCCGUAACAC